CCCACAUCCCGGUGACUCUACACUCGGCUCCGCUCCACCACCGCGCUCGCCCUCUUCGUCGUUGCCGUCCGUCUCCACAGUCCCCACCCAUAUUCCAUUUUGGUUAUCCUCUUGCGUCACACCUCCUCCCUCCUGGCCUCCUCCUGCGGCCCACUUAUAUAUACCACCACGUCGAUGCGCUGCUCCGCCGGCAUCUCCAUCGCCGUCGCGCCGCCGUAGAUGGCCUGACAUUUUUCACUUCAUUUGUCAUCCCAAUUCCACAAACCUCGCGCGCGGCGGCGGAGGGAAACAAAAAAAAAAAGGAAGGAUGGCGUUGGAGCCGGUGGCGCGGGCGGUGGCGGAGGAGGUGGCGCGCUGGGGCGCGAUGCGCCAGACCGGGGUCAGCUUGCGCUACAUGAUGGAGUUCGGGGUGCGCCCCACGGAGCGGACCCUCCUGCUCGCCGCACAGUUCCUGCACAAGGAGCUCCCCAUCCGCAUCGCGCGACGGGCGCUCGACCUCGACUCGCUCCCCUUCGGCCUCUCCACCAAGCCCGCCAUCCUCAAGGUGAGAGAUUGGUAUGUGGAGUCAUUCCGUGACAUCCGGUCCUUCCCAGAGGUGAAGAACCAGGAAGAUGAACUCGCCUUCACCCAGAUGAUCAAAAUGAUCAAGGUGCGGCACACCAAUGUGGUGCCUGCGGUUGCAUUGGGUGUGCAGCAGCUGAAGAAGGACUUGGGUGGUCCAAAGGCGUUCCCACCUGGAAUCCAUGAGAUCCAUCAGUUCCUUGAUCGCUUCUACAUGUCAAGGAUUGGGAUCCGGAUGCUGAUAGGGCAGCACGUCGCUUUGCAUGACCCUGAUCCAGAGCCUGGUGUGAUAGGGCUUAUAAACACAAAAAUGUCACCCAUGACAGUAGCUCGAAUUGCUAGUGAAGAUGCACGUGCUAUUUGCAUGCGGGAGUAUGGAUCAUCUCCUAAUGUCGACAUAUAUGGUGAUCCGGGGUUUACAUUCCCAUAUGUUACACCACAUCUACAUCUCAUGAUUUUUGAGCUGGUGAAGAACUCCCUUCGCGCAGUACAGGAACGGUAUAUGGAUUCUGAUAAGCUUGCACCUCCGGUUCGAAUCAUAGUUGCUGAUGGAGCAGAGGACGUGACUAUUAAGCCAAAGGAGUAAAAGAGAUUUAAGGGAAGUUCACUCUAUUUAUUUCUUGCUGGCCUGAGGAGACAAGACCCGUAUUAAUAGUCAUCCAGCAAUGUCAGCUGACUUUUUUUUUCUUCUGGUUACAGCCAAAUGCAACUAGCAGAAAUGUAAAUAAACGCCCUUUAUGAUGCUAACAGAUAGCCAAUCCAACUAACUGGCUAACGCCUUUUGUUAGAAUUUUCUCAUUAAUUGUGAUAUUCAACCGACAAACUUGUAUCUUCUGCACCUAUGUUAGCAAAAAUCAAUAGCUUCGAUUAUUCAUGAUCUGGUAUGAAGUAUGAACUGUUUGACUAAACCAUACUUUUGCAGAUUACUGAUGAAGGUGGUGGAAUACCAAGGAGUGGUCUCUCAAGAAUUUUUACGUAUCUCUAUAGUACAGCAGAAAACCCUCCUGAUCUUGAUGUACAUAAUGAAGGAGUAACUAUGGCUGGAUAUGGUUAUGGGAUUCCUAUUAGUCGUCUUUAUGCUCGAUAUUUCGGCGGGGACUUGCAGAUCAUCUCUAUGGAAGGAUAUGGAACUGAUGCAUACCUCCACUUAUCACGGCUGGGAGAUUCGGAGGAACCCUUGACUUAAUCGAUUCAUAAGAAGCCAUUCCUCAUUCCUGUAGUUAGGACUCUAUUGCUUUCUCAAUUACCGUGCUGGUAUGCAAAUAUUGUUCUGAAGGCCAGUCACCUAUUAGUUCAGCUGUCCAUGCCCUAUUUGUUAUCUUUGUUGUUCAUUCAUCAUCUCGAUGGAAUGUGAUCAUAAUUCAGAAUAGUUUUGCUUCUGGUUUGUACUGUCAUUAUAAUUGUUCAACCUCCAAUAAUGGUAUCUGUCGAGCACCCGAGGCAUUGAAUUUGAGUAAUGGAAUUCACCAUAAUUGUUCAACCUCCAAUAAAGUCUGUAACUCCAAUUCUUCAAA